rnacentral:lncRNA from 1 species
GCUGACUCUCUUUUCAGACUCAGCCCACUUGCACCCAAGUGAAUUAACAGCCUUGUUGCUCACACAAAGCCUGUUUAGGUGGUCUUCUAUACGGACAUGCUUGACACUUGGUGCCAAAAUCUGGGCCAGGGGGACUCCUUCGUGAGACCGGCCCCCUGUCCUGGCCCUCAUUCCGUGAAGAGAUCCACCUGCGACCUCGGGUCCUCAGACCAGCCCAAGGAACAUCUCACCAAUUUCAAAUCGGAUCUCCUCGGCUUAGUGGCUGAAGACUGAUGCUGCCCGAUCGCCUCAGAAGCCCCUUGGACCAUCACAGAUGCCGAGCUUCGGGUAACUCUUACGGUGGAGGGAUCUGCAAUCAGAACUAUUGAACUUCUCCAUUCAGACCGCCACUCACACCUAUGGGAAAAGGGUGGCCUGCAGGAGCCAAGAAGUCUGGAGCAGCCGAAAAACCACAAAGAAGUGAAACAGCCAGUUCCUGCCUUAACUAAUUAACCCACCUUACGACAUUCCACCAUUAUGACUUGUCCACCAUUAUGACUUGUUCCUGCCCUGCCCCAACUGAUCAAUCAACCCUGUGACAUUCUUCUCCUGGACAAUGAGUCCCAUCAUCUCUCCACCAUGCACCUUGUGACCCCCUCCUCUGCUGAGGAUAACCACCUUUAACUGUAACUUUCCACGCCUACCCAAGCCCUAUAAAGCUGCCCCUCUCCUAUCUCCCUUCACUGACUCUCUUUUCGGACUCAGCCCACUUGCACCCAAGUGAAUUAACAGCCUUGUUGCUCACACAAAGCCUGAUUGGGUGUCUUCUAUACGGACACGCGUGACAGGAACCUCAACCCAAAGGCAGUCUGAUGAGGUGUCUAAGAUAAAAGUAGCGGCACAAAGGCUUUUGUAAACAGAGGCGUUUCAUGUGGUUUUCCUUUCCUUUCCUUAUAUGUGAAAAGGUGACAGAAAAGAAAUCUUCCUAAAAGAGUCAGCCACUGC